rnacentral:rRNA from 1 species
GAUUGAACGCUGGCGGCAGGCCUAACACAUGCAAGUCGAACGGUAACAGGAAGCAGCUUGCUGCUUUGCUGACGAGUGGCGGACGGGUGAGUAAUGUCUGGGAAACUGCCUGAUGGAGGGGGAUAACUACUGGAAACGGUAGCUAAUACCGCAUAACGUCGCAAGACCAAAGAGGGGGACCUUAGGGCCUCUUGCCAUCGGAUGUGCCCAGAUGGGAUUAGCUAGUAGGUGGGGUAACGGCUCACCUAGGCGACGAUCCCUAGCUGGUCUGAGAGGAUGACCAGCCACACUGGAACUGAGACACGGUCCAGACUCCUACGGGAGGCAGCAGUGGGGAAUAUUGCACAAUGGGCGCAAGCCUGAUGCAGCCAUGCCGCGUGUAUGAAGAAGGCCUUCGGGUUGUAAAGUACUUUCAGCGGGGAGGAAGGGAGUAAAGUUAAUACCUUGGCUCAUUGACGUUACCCGCAGAAGAAGCACCGGCUAACUCCGUG